rnacentral:misc_RNA from 1 species
ACACCCCACAUUCAUAAUUUUGUUGUGAAUGGAACUGAGAAUUUCGACUUGUUUGAAUUCUUUAAACUUAUUAGGCCUGAACUAUUGUUCUUUCUGCCUGAACAUUUUUUUAAUAUAAAGGAAUGCUCUAGUAUUAAGACUAUCUCUGGGGCCUCCCAAAUAAAACUUUCUUAA